UCAGGCAAAGGGACAUUUACAUAUGCUUUUUAAAAUUUGUUUGAGUUGAGGUAGAGUAAAUAUCUGUAUUCUCCUUUGCCUGCAG
ensembl:miRNA